rnacentral:rRNA from 1 species
AGCGAACGCUGGCGGCAGGCCUAACACAUGCAAGUCGAACGGAUCCUUCGGGAUUAGUGGCGGACGGGUGAGUAACACGUGGGAACGUGCCUUUAGGUUCGGAAUAACUCAGGGAAACUUGUGAUAAUACCGAAUGUGCCCCUCGGGGGAAAGAUUUAUCGCCUUUAGAGCGGCCCGCGUCUGAUUAGCUAGUUGGUGAGGUAAAGGCUCACCAAGGCGACGAUCAGUGGCUGGUCUGAGAGGAUGAUCAGCCACAUUGGGACUGAGACACGGCCCAAACUCCUACGGGAGGCAGCAGUGGGGAAUCUUGCGCAAUGGGCGAAAGCCUGACGCAGCCAUGCCGCGUGAAUGAUGAAGGUCUUAGGAUUGUAAAAUUCUUUCACCGGGGACGAUAAUGACGGUACCCGGAGAAGAAGCCCCGGCUAACUUCGUGCCAGCCGCCGCCGUAAGAC